AGAAGACGCGGAGCACGGCUGAGGGCGAAGCCUUCAUCCAGGCCCUCCCAGGCAGUGGCACCACACCCCUGCUGAGGACCCGGGUGGAGGACACCAACCAGAAAUACGAGCACCUCCUGCAGCUGCUGGACUUGGCCCAGGAGAAGGUUGAUGUGGCCAACCGCCUGGAGAAGAGCCUGCAGCAGAGCUGGGAGUUGCUGGCCACGCACGAGAACCAUCUGAAUCAGGAUGACACAGUGCCUGAGAGCAGCCGUGUCCUGGACAGCAAGGGGCAGGAGCUGGCGGUGAGUCUAGGGCCCAAGUCCUGGGAGUCCUUCUCUGAGCAGGUGAGAGCAUCAGGCACAUCCACCCGCCCGUCUGGACAGACGAGGACACCAGCAUCCAGUCUCCCCGGGUUUGGAAUGCCCAAAUUGGGAACUGCAAAUGGAGGCUCGCAGCACAAAUCCAAGCUAUUCACGGGAUCUGUGUGACUUACGGGAUUUCGGGUGCCAGCAGUUUAAGAUCAAAUAUCUGCAAUAGCCAGUGUAGUGGCACAUGCCUGUAACACCAGCCAUUCAGGAGGCUGGGGCGGGAUUGCUUGAGCCCUGGAGUUUAAGUCCAGCCACCUGGACAACGUUGAAAGACCCUAUCUCUUAAAAAAAGAGAAAAA
rnacentral:sRNA from 1 species